rnacentral:misc_RNA from 1 species
GGAAUAUCCAAAAGCAUAUGACAAUGGCGGAGAGGAAUAUUCUACGCGGAGAUUCAAUCCUGUUCUGUUUCUCCCAUUGUAUUUUUCUCCUCCAUAUAUACCCAUCUCUUCAAACCCUUCAUUACAGCGACAAUUCUCUAUAAUCCCCUUUGAAUCCUUCUCGUCUAAUCUCUCUGCAAACCACUUUAAAUAAUGGCUCUUAAAGCCGUUCAUGUCUCCGACGUCCCUAACCUCGACCAGGUCCCCGAAAAUGCUUCUCUUGCUCUCUACUCCACCCGCUUCUCCAAAGGGGUGGAAUUGAAUAGGGUGCCUUAUAAGAUUCCCAAGUUUCUGGUUGUUGGGCAUAGAGGAAAUGGGAUGAAUAUAUUGACUUCGGGGGACCAAAGAAUGAAAGCUAUAAAGGAGAACUCUAUAAUGUCCUUCAAUUCUGCUGCUAAAUUCCCAAUUGAUUUCAUCGAAUUCGACGUUCAGGUUAGCAUCUUCUUCCUCUCUCUUGUAAAUCUCGCCCUUUUUUUAGUUUUUAUUCGUUCAAGUCUGGAACUGGUUUUGAUUUUGAAUUCAGAAGCCACAUUACAGUUUGUCGACGGCGUCGUUCGCCGCGUCCGGUUGUUUUCCGUUCGUUUUUUUUUGUUUUUUGUUUUUUUCCAUAUUCGCGCAGAGGCCGAUUUUGAUAAUUAAAAAAAGUCAAUAUUUUAGUAUUGAACCGAGUCUAAAUAGCUAAUAAGUAUAAAUCUUUGCAUUAAAAACGUUGUCGUUUUGGAUUCUUAAGGAUGCUAAAUAAAGAUUAAAAUCCAGUAAAUUAGAAAAAAAGGAGCGAAUUUCUGUGCUGUGUUUCAGAAUAUCUUGGUUUAUCGGAGGAGGAUAUUGAACUGAUGAUGUUUAUUUUGGUUGGGGAUUUUUGGGAUUCUUUUUUAUGGUAAAAGAAAUUGAAUGAAAAUAAAGUAUGGAGCUGAAUGAGACAAAGACAACAAAGAGUAAAAAACGACUGUCGUUUUUGUAGGUGACCAAGGAUGGCUGCCCAGUCAUUUUCCAUGACGAUUUCAUCGUCUCUGAAGAUAACGUAAGUUCCUCCACUCCUUUUAAUGAAAUAAAGAUUCAUUUUCUCCCUUUUUUUGAAGACUCUAAUUUUUGAGGUAAUCUUGGUAUUUGGAUUUUAUUUUUAGGGUGUUAUCUUUGAGAAAAGAGUAACAGAACUGUGCCUAUCUGAAUUCCUAUGCUAUGGCCCCCAAAAUGAAGCAGGGAAGAUAGGCAAGCCUCUGCUAAGAAAAACAAAAAAUGGGAGAAUUGUCAACUGGAAUGUAGAGAAAGAUGACUCUCUUUGCACUUUGAAAGAUGCAUUUCAACAAGUGGAGCCUUCUCUGGGCUUCAACAUUGAAUUAAAAUUUGAUGAUCACAUUGUUUACCAAGAAGACUAUCUCAUCCAUGUACUUCAAGCCAUCUUGAAGGUAUGUUAAUUAGGGUCAUUGCUGUUGAAAUUGCUGACGAUAAAAUCACUAUUUUAAAUAUAUUAGUUAGAGAUCAUUAAAAAUGAUUUAAAAUUAAAUUUAAUGAGUUUUAGUCAUUAGAACACUACUAAAAUAACAAAAUUGCUUUUCUCAAAUUGUAUUUUUCAAUAGCAUCUAAAAUAGUUUUUUUUUUUCAUGAAAAA